rnacentral:rRNA from 1 species
UACGUAGGGUCCGAGCGUUGUCCGGAAUUAUUGGGCGUAAAGAGCUCGUAGGCGGUCUGUCGCGUCUGCUGUGAAAACUCGGGGCUUAACCCCGGGCCUGCAGUGGGUACGGGCAGACUAGAGUGCGGUAGGGGAGACUGGAAUUCCUGGUGUAGCGGUGAAAUGCGCAGAUAUCAGGAGGAACACCGAUGGCGAAGGCAGUUCUCUGGGCCGUAACUGACGCUGAGGAGCGAAAGCGUGGGGAGCGAACAGG